rnacentral:misc_RNA from 1 species
GUGGUGUUACACCGGUUACCAGUAGUGGUGAGAGAAACGGUGCUGUGACCCGGCGCAUAUUUUGGUGACGUGAAAAGAUUGUCUCUUCCUCUUUGACUCAGAAACCUUUUUAUUUAUACUCAGAGAGAGUCAUGGAACGGUAAAUGGUUCUACUGUGGUCAGACCGUUUCCACUGGCGGAAUAUACGAUUGAUUUAGAUCUACAUCGAUUCAUACCAACACAAAUGGAAAGAAAUAUGACCACCACAGACGAAAUUCGCUCAAUUGUUGGGCGAAGACCGACUGGCUGGUGCCAGGGGGAGUAAUGUCUGGGUCUGUAUGGAGCCUUUUAAUUUCACAUUUGAACAGAUCAACUUCGAGCACGAACUCCAGCUGCCCCCUGGUGUUGAGCAGGUUCAACAGAAUUUUGAUUCCUUCAAUAAUGUGAUUCACUACGACUUGGAUUUUGUCAAUGAUUCCACCUCUUCUGCCGAUCUUCAGUCUUAUGGAAUUCCUGAGACUGUAAAGAGGAACCCCGUUGAGCAGAGGCUAUGCCAGAGCAGCGUAGGUAACCCUUGUGAUACUCGAGUUCACUAUGUUUGGUCUGAGAAAAGGUUAAGUCCAGAAGGAAGCGACCAUCUUGUGAAUCCCUUUAUCAACUUCAGUGAACUUGAACCAGACAAGUCUUCCUCCGUCACCAAUCCUACCACAACUACUGAUGACAUAUCUACCCUUAUCAAGGUAUCAGCCAUCACCAAAACUGUGAAUUCUCAGCUGCGUAGCCGUGACAACAGACCAAAGUUUACAAUCCCAAAAAGGAAGAUGGCUACAACGGAAGUGUCUCCUUCAACACUGGCACAUGUACCACAGCCAGCGACCACCACUGCACAACGAACAACCAAUACAGCUCCAUUUGAAAAUAGCAAUGCAUUUGAGACGGUUGCAGAAGCCCUCCACUUGCAGUGGUCAGUCAUUGGUGAUAAGAAUGUGACCCCUGCUUCCCCUGAAGUAGUUGCUCAGAUUGUGGCUGAAGCAGAGAAGAGGUUGAAGGCCAGCAAUAUACAACCAGCGCCCUUGAGUGAAAGUUUCUCCUCAAAGACAAAUUCAGAAACAUCCUCUGACAUACCUCAGAAUCUUAUUCCUGGUCUCAACAGUGAUAGCCAAAGUCUGAAAAUGUCUUUUGAGAGAACGCCACGUUUGGAUUCUUUAUACUCUAAUGAUUCUCAUUCGUUGAUGUCUUCAGGAGAAAGCACUGAAAUAUUGCCAACAGACGUUUCAAAGACUAACAAAGAUUUGGCCAGAGUUAUUCCAUCAACCGAAGGCAAAAUUAUAAUUCCUGCAACAAAUAUCACUUUAACAACAGAGAAAACCUCUUGGUUCAAUUCAGGACCAAAACUCGUAUCUGACACCGAAACAUCCCCCAGGGACAGGGAACAGGUAAAACCAAAAUCCAAGAAAAAGGGAAAACCUAAGAACAAAUCUGCUUCCAAAGAUUUUACAGAAGAAAACGAUGGUUUGUCUCCCUCCGCAUCAACAACAUCUUCAGUUGUCUCAUCGUCCAUGGAACAAAUCUCCAGAGAACUCAGUCAAGAGAAUGGUCUAAGCGAAGGAGACAAAACUGAUGAAGUUGCUUCUGUAAAAAGUUCCUCAGUUCAGUUCUCUGAUUGUGAUGAGGAUUACAAUUAUGAAGACGACAGCACAGCUGAAGCUUUUCUCAAGUCACUGCCGCCUGUCAAAGCCAUUGAGCUGGAAAGUUUCCUGAAAAGAUUCCAUAAUGGACGGCACUCUCCACCAGUGAGAGAACGUUCUUUCACACCAAGCGACUCUGGCAGAGACACUGCAAGGUUUUCUCCUCUGCUGGAUUCGGUGACCGGUGCUAGCCAUGACCAAAAGUAUUCUUUCCAAAACACUGACAUUUCUGAUCGCCUUGGUUCCGUCCCUGGCAGUGUGGAGUUACCUGAGAAAGAUGUCAGUCCUUUACCAUCUAAAUUACCCACAAAACCUAAAAUCGUUCUUCCUGACCCUGGACCUCUUUUCAAGAAUGCAAUGAAACCAUUUACAGAGAGAAAAUCCAAGGCCUAUGUCGAGGUAUCUUCUCCAGCAACAGGGAAACUGGAAGAAAUGAACCUAAAUACUGUUCUGAAGGAGAAGGCAAAGCUGGAGGGUCAGUUGGAAGUGUUGAGUGCAGAGGCAGAAAUUGCAUUACAAGAACGUGCGGAGUUGCAGGCUCAAGUUGCCUCUCUGGACCAGAAACUGCAAUUGUUGAAUAACUCAGAGUCUGACGUGAAGCAGAAUGCACUGAAAGCUGACAUCAGGAGCUUGAAAGAGAACCGUGUCUACUUGGAACAAUGUUUAGAAGACACUCAGAAACUGCUGGAAGAAAAGAUUGAUGCUGCUAAACAUCAUGAAGAGGAAUUGAAGCUGACCCAAGAACUUCAGGACAAGCAAAACAUCCAUGUACGAGAAUUGUCAGACGGUCUUAAUGCCCGUGACGUGACCAUUCAAGCAUUAAAAAAUAAAGUUGCAGAACUUUAUGUUGAGGUGCAGACUGCACUUCAGAAAAAAAUGCUGUCCGACACUGAUGCACGGAAUGCAAAAAGUGACCUUUCAGCCAUUACCAGCACAAAGCAGUGGUACCAUGAACAACUCCAGAUGGCCAACAAGGUUCGUUCAGAACUGCAAAAGGAGUUAACGGCACUGCAUGCACGAGUCUCAUCUCAGGGAAUAAUCAGCGAACGCUUGAAAGCAGAUACUGCACGCCUGCACCAGUUGUUGUCUGAGACGCGGCAGAAGGCAGUGUUAGAAAAAGAGACACUCGCUCGACAAUUGGAGAACAUCCAGGCAGACAUGCUGGAGAGAGAAACAGCUUUCCAGGAGAUCCAGAGGGAGCGGCAUCUCAUUGAAGAGACAUUUGAUUCGAAAAUUUUGAGUGUCGAGGAAGAGAAGUCAAAGAUAGCCACCCUGUUGCAGACCACAGUUGACCUUGAGGCUCAGCUUGAGAAAUCACAAAACAACGUGAAGAAAAAGCAGAUUCAAAUAUUUUCUUUAGAAACUGAGCAGGCAAGUCUGAUGAAAAAUCUGAUGGUUACUGAAGGAAAACUUACUGAAAAGGAUAAAAUCACUGAGGAAUUACAGCAGAAACUCAUUGAUGUUGAAUCUUCUUUGAAUGCUUUCCAAACCGAAGCCAGUCGGAAGAACCAGGAAGUGUUGAAGUUGAAAGAAGAGAAGGCUGCGGUGGAAAUAUCUUUGGUAGCAGCUUCUGAAGAAAAGAAAAUUUUUGAUUCUUCCUUGGAAACACUUCGUGGUGACUUGAGUAAAGUAGAGAAAAGCUUUUGGCAGAUGAAGCAGGAGCUGAAUAAUCGUGUUGCCGAACUUGAACAAGUGAAGGAGGACAGAGAUAGGGUCAAGUUGGAAUUGGAAGAAUCUCAGAAAACACUCUCUAAUUUGCCUGAGAAAGAACUUCAGGAAGACAAAGAGAAUCUGGCUGAACAUUCUCAGAAGAUUGAGAAGAAGAACGAGGCCCUUGCCAAGGACUUAAACGAUCUUCGAGUGCAGUUUACGGAAUUGAAUGACCGGUAUUUACAUGAAGUUCACGAAAAGGAAGCUGUACAGAACCUUCUAGAAAAUGUCCAGAAGAAUCUUGAUCUUGUAAAUGUAGAAUUAGAAAAGGAGAAAGAGAGACCAUCAAGUGAAGAGCAAAGUCUAGAAAAUUCCGAGAAACUUCUGCAGCUUGAAACUGAAAAUAAAAACCUGAAAGCAGAGAUGAAAUCCGUUGAAAAGAAACGGCAAAACACCUUGACCAAAGAGAAGGCUCGGUCAGCAAGACUUGGCACCGAUUUAAAUGCUGUGCAGAAUGAAUUGAUGCAAAGACAAAAGGCUUAUGACAGCAACACUGAACUCCUCAGCAGUAAACUCCGUGAGAUGGUUUCCAGCAAAGAAGCACUUCAGAACGAACACGAUAUGCUUAAACGGAAGUUUGAAUUUGGUAUGUUGGAGCAACAAGAUCACAUGAAGGUAGAAUUACAGACUCUUGCUGGAGAAUUAGAAUUGGUAACCAACCAGAAACACCAAGCUGAAAGUCAAUUAACAGAACUGGAAAUAGCAACCAAACAACAGAUUGACCAAUAUGUAGCACAGGUUGUGGCCAUGGGGGAGCAACUACAGCAGUUGGUCAAUGAGAAAGAAGAAGUGGAGCGGGAAGCCAGUUCCAAAGAUUAUCAAUUCCAGCUGGAACUUGAAAAAGAACGAGGUCGCCUUACAGGCUUACAACAAAGCAAUACAACUCUGAAGAACCAUGUUGCUGAGUUAGAAGAAGCUCUGGCUCGCCGUGAGUCGUCACUGGUCGAACUGCAGACCCAGUUCAGUGAAACCCUGAAGAACCAAGAUUGUAAUGAUUCUGAUUUCAGCAACAGGUUACAGGAACUCGAACAGAUGUUGGCUCAUGAAAAGGGUAACCAGAGGGAGCUCAGGAAACAGAUUGGUGUGAAGAUUAAAGAAAACAAAAACUUGAAGCGGCAACAGAAAGCUCUGGCAACUGAACAGGAGCAAUUACAGGGGAGCCUUGAGCAGAAAGCAUCGCAAUGUGAUGCAACUGCAGAUGAACUGCAGCGAAAGAAGGAAGAGCUGUCUCAGGUGCAGUCUAGUCUUCAGAAUGUGCAGCAUGUUAACCAAACACUGAAUGCUCAAAUUGAGCGCUUGCAACGGAACCUCUCCGACAAUCAGGACCGCAAUCCAGUCAUACUGGAGCAACUAGAGAGUUUACAAUGGAAGCUUCAACAGAAGAACUCUGAAAUUGAGUCUGUUCGUCACCAAUUGACUCUGUCUGAAGAACGACAUGACCUGGAACAGGAGAAUCUGAAAAAGACUCUACAGAACAACCAGCAAGAACUGGAGGCCCUCCGUGGUGAACUGAAAGCCUCACGCCAAGAAAAGUUGAACCAACAGGCCAAAGUGGCUGAAUUAAGGAGUGCCCUUAAGACCUCAAUCCAUCAACAUAAGAUCUCCAAAAAGGUUUCAUCCAAAUUAAAAGGCUCCCCCAAGAGGACCUUAGUUAACAGUGAAAACCUGACGGCAGAAGAAGCCAGCAUUGAACCUGAAUCAAUGCAGCCUGUAACCGAAGGAGCUUGCUCUCCGAACUGUCGAGACGUCGGGACACAAAUGGAUGAAGAUAGCAAGGAGACCCUAUUGGCGCCGGUCGGUGAACCAUUUGACAUCGAAGCCUUGGAACAGCUAUUGCAGGACACAACAGUCCAAGCUCUGGAAAGCAAACCAUUGGAUGACUUGCAGUCCUGCCUGAGUAGUCUUCGAGCUCAAAUCUCCGGACUAGAGAAGCAGAUCGAUGAUCAUUCAGCAGCUAUUCAGAAUUCUGGUGAAACCUGGAGGGAUGUCGAAACACAAGUUGUUGAACUCCAACAAGUGGUGCAAACCGUAACCAACACAACGUCCUGCCCGACGCUAACCACUACCGUGGCAGACACUUCAGAAGCAACCUAUUGAACGCAGAGCGUGCAGCCAGUUAUUAUUAUUACUAUCAUCGUCAUUAUUGCAUUAUUAUUAUUAUUAUUAACAAUAUACAUACAUGUGUGUAUAUACAUAUAUAUAUAUGUAUGUAUUGCUUUGUUGUUCUGGAUGUGUCCAGUGGGAUGUAGGGUUUGGUCUUCGUUAAAACUUUUUAUCGUUAUGUUUUGGUUAAUUAGUUCCUUCUGCUAUCUCCUGUAGUAUUCUGCAUGUCUUUACAGAAUCUUUCUUGGCUGCGUGUGUAUGAUUUUGUGUAUAUAUGUAAGUGUAUAUAUAUAUUAAAUAUGUGUGUAUCUUUGUAAACCAAUACAUGUAUAUGUGUGUGCAUAUCUGAAUAUAUAUGUAUAUAUUUAUGUAUAUAUGUGUAGCUUGGAGGUGGUGAGUGAUGUGGGAUUGAGUGGGAAUAAGGGAGUCCAUCCUGUACUCAACAUCAGACCUGUGUCCCCUAAUUUGGUUCAUCUUGCCACUAAAUCCUUGGUUUUCAUUUGGAUUAUGGCCUGUUUGUGAAACCCAGUUUGCAGUGGCUGGCAUAUAUUAUCUUCAUCAAUCUGAGGUGUCUGCAAGCAGAGAAACUUUCUAUGUGAUCAUUCGAUAUUGCUAGAAAUAGUAGCCAAAUGUACUUCAUAUAAAGAAAAAACACAUCGGAAAAUGUAGUCUUAAAUCUGAACACCCCCUACCAGAGAAAGUGAUGGUGGUCAUGAUUAGCAUGUCUUUAAUUAUACAUCUGCUCAGUCAGUGUUGUCCUGGGUUAAACAACAAUUAGAAGAAGCCUCUUGAGCUUACUAGCAACCUUUAUGUGGUCACUGAAGCUGCUAGAAAUAUCAGCCAAAUCUCUCUCAAAUUACUGUUGUAUAAAAAACAGCAGACUGGAUACCAUUAGUCUGAUUUGUGUGACAUUAUUUUUUUUAAGACAACUUUAUUCAGAUGUAAAGUGCCAUCUUUGCUAAAUAGCUAUGUCUAGUAAAGACUCUAGUAGAAGUACCAAGACUGAUGGUUGUCUAAAGCAUUUUUGUUGUUGUUGUCAAGGAAUCUGUAUUUUACAAAAAUAAGGCUCCCUGCCACAUCCAAAUGAAAGUUCUCUGUUCUCCCUCCGUCUCUGUCUACUUGGUAACACACUUGUCAUGAAAACAAAGAGCUGGGGGUUUGAGUCUCAUGCAUAUGGAAACCCUACUUUUUUUCCAUCAAGGGCUUAUCUGCCUCAAUAUUAGACUAUUUUCUUUAGUCAUUUCUUAGUUCUAAGCUUAUAAAAUAUUAUUAUUAUUAUUAUUUACAGAAUUGUAAAAAUUGGCACUGCUUAUCAAAAGCCAUCGCAGAUAUAUAUGUGUGUGUGUGUGUGUACAUAUAAUAUAUUAUAAAUGGUGUAAGUUGUUAAGAAAGAAAGUGUUACACCCUGCAUCUCUACUUAUGUAUAUAUGUAUAUAUAUAUAUAUGAAUAUGUGUGUGUGUCUACAUAUGUUUAUAAGAUAUAUAUAUAUAAUCAUAAAUGAUCUGGCUUGUUAAGAAAGAAAGUGUUAUACCCCUGCAUCUCUAUCUACUUAUAUGCGUGUGUGUGUGUAUGGGUGUGUAUGUGUAUAUAGUAUAUAUAUAUUAUAAAUGGUCUGGCUUGUUAAGGAGGUGUUAUACUCUACAUCUCUAUCUACUUAUAUAUAUGUGUGUGUAUGUGUGUGGUGUUAUACCUGCAUCUCUAUCUACUUAUAUAUAUGUGUAAGUGUAUAUAUAUGUGUGAGUGUGUGUGUGCUUAUGUAUAUAUGAUAUAUAUUUUAAAUGCUCUGGCUUGCUCAGACAGAAAGUGUUAGACCCUGCAUCUUUAUCUACUUAUAUGUGUAUGCAUGUAUGUAUGUGUCUAUACAUCUGUGUGUGUAUAUGUAUAUGUGUGUGCGUAUAUAUAUAUAUAUAUAUAUAUAUUAUGAAUGACCUGGUUUGUUAAGAAAGAAAGUGUUACUCAGUUCCCUGGGACAAUAUUCUUUCCUAUCCAGAUCAGGUCUGUUAAACAAAGGUAGCCGACAUUCUUGAGUGUACGAACACUAAUCAAUGAGGAACGAUUAAUAAGUUGUCUUUGAGACACAUUCUGUCAAAUUCUUGGGCAGAAUUCUUCACAGAAGAUUUGUGAAGAAAUUUUUAAGAAUUUUUUUUUUUAAAUUGAACAUAGAAAGAAAGAGAAAGUGAAAGUUGCCAAAACAAAGUUUGCUCGUUUGUGUGUGUGUGUGUGUGUGUGUGGUGUGUGUGUGUGUGUGUGUGUGUGUAUGAUUUUCAUGUUUGACAAUUUGCAGAAGGAAAAAUCCAACAUUUCCUUGAGUGGAAAAAUGAAUAUUUGUGAAUGAUUAUACACACACACACAUAUAUAUACAUAAGGAAGUGAUAUACACAUAUAGAUGCAUACUUGUGUACAUAUGCAUGUAUAUGUGUGGCUAUAUGUUUGUGUAUGUAUGUUUGAAUACCUGUCCCCUUAUAUAUGCAUGUGUUUGCAUGAAUGAAUGUGCACACAUACCAACUGGAAGUGUCCCCUUUUUGCAAUGUGUUCGUUUAGUUUCUGAAUGAAAGCAAGAAAGAUGACAACCACUUUGGCCCCCUAAAAAGUAUGUAUUGUGGCCAAUAAUUAUUUUGGACUAGUUCACAUGUAAAUAACAUGUGGCACCUAUGUUAAUUAAUUUUGUCAAAAUUGUUGAUAAUGUGGGGUUUCUUUGGUUAAAAAUAUAAAAAAAUAAAAAAUUAAGGGAAAGAGUUACAAACAUGACUCGAAAUACAUAAAACAUGGAGGAAAGUAACAAAUGCAACAACAAAAACAAUUAUAAACGAUACUAGACAAACAAAUAAACAAAACAAUCAGCACAAUGACUAUAACUUCGCACUGUUGUACCGCUGAAUACUUGGUCUUUGAAUUCAUUUGUAAAAACAUCCUGGUAAUAGCAACUGUAAACUCUUUUGCUGCUGCGGAAAUUUCACAACUCUUAACUGUGGAAAGGAAUUGUAUAUUCCAACCUGUUGGAACUAUUUUCUGUUGGGAUAUGUCAAGUUUAUCAAAGCAAUGGGACUUAACCGAAAAUAUCAAUUCUAUUUUUUGGGUAUUAUUUAACAUCAUUUGUGGAAAAAGCAUGAAAUUCUUGUUACAUUUGCGGAUGAUCAUCUUUUGCCACACAUUUUUACAUCAAGAAUCCUGCAAAACAAUAGACAUAUGAAAUUAUAUUUUGCAGUUAAAGUGUUUUAAAACCCCUUCAGUCUGUGAUUGGGAGGUAAAAACAAAGGGGUUCUUUUUUUUUUUUCUUCUUUUUUGGUUUGUUUCUAAAUGCUGAGAUAAGAAGACGUUGCAAGUGAGAGGAGUCAUACUCUCUCAACCACUGACUAUAACACAUAUUCUACUUAUCUUUAUGCAAUUUGUGUCUAUUUUCUUUUUUUGUAUUUUUUCUUUUUUCCCCAUCAUUGUUUUUACAAAUUUGUUUCCUGUUCUGAUUUUUUUUUGUUGUUUUUGAGAGGUAAUUUCAAUAAUUUUGCUUUUUCUUUUUACUUCUUGAUAUUUAUUUAUUACCUGGUUAAAUUUGAUUUAUCAUUUAUUUACAUUUAAGAUUCAUUUAAAAAGUUUCUGUGUUAAUUGAAUUCUCUCACUUUUUCUGUAUUUUUCUUUUUUUUUUUCAUGGGUGUUUUUGGGUACGAAUCUGUUUAUUUGGUUUCUGGUUAUUUUUUGCAGGAGGAAAUUACGUUUAUUUCUGCAUCUCACGACACUACUACUACACUUACAACACACACUACACUACACUGCAACUGCCAGCAUCAUGUUACCCUACAACUGGACCCUCACCAGCGACGGCUACUCAAACAGACCCAUGCAUUGGAGGGUUGUCAGCUGAGUGGUGCAAGGGUGUCAUCUACCAAGAAUAGGGAACCACUAACAAAUGGUGGAUGCUACAAUGCUCUGUUACAGCACAUACUCCUAUACUACUACUACUACUACUAUCACAUUACGCUUCUGUCAUAUUACACUACAGCUACCGUCACACCACACCAUACCACUGCCACAACACUACGCUACACCUCUGUUGCAUAACGCUCCCAUUGCAUCACAUCACACUCAACACACUCCAUUGCGUUAUCCCACCACUGCCACCACCCACUACAGCUUUUCUACUUAAAUUAUCCAACUGUUUAUUAUAUAUGUUGUUAAAUUCUAAUUGUGAGCUCCCUGUAGCCAUCCUGAAUUCAGGGAAGCUGGGAAGAGAGAAGGUCACUGUGUUACCCCUUUUUGUUUUGGAGGGGGUUUGGGCAAGUUAACGAGCUCGUUUAAUAUGCACAAUGCUUAUGUAUAGCUUUAUAACACUCAAGGGAGCAAUUAGAAGGGAGGUUUAUGCAAAACCUUUACAUGAAAUGUGUUAACCCCUCUAAAAGAGGCCUACACUUAGACACAGAGGGGGAAGUAAGGGUUCAGGUAGUAAUUGCUACAAUUGGGCUAAUCACUCUAAACUGGUCGGUUUUUUUAAUGUUUUUUUUUUUUUGGUUUCUCAAUCCUUUCUCAGAAGUGAAGAGGAAACGAGUGAAAGAGCUUCUACAUGAUGUCUAGAUCUGCUAGAAAUAGCAGUCAAAUUUACCUCAAAUGUACCCUACAUUUUUAGAAAAUGACAGUUCAUAGUUUGAAAUGUUAUAUUCCUGAAUGAGAUGGGAUGGUCAUGGCUAGAAUGCCUUUGAUUAUAAGUCUUCUCAAAAUGGGGCCAAUUUGGAGAGCCAACAGCAACAACAAAUGUAAAAAGAGAGAAAAGAAGUGGGGGUCCCUGGAUUUUGAUUAGGCAGGGAUAUAACAAAAGGUAUUUUAGGGACUACAUUGUAUAUAACACAUUCUUUCUGUUUUAAGAUAGUUGGAUGUAACUUGAGGGAAUUUGGUUGCUAUUUCUAGCAGAUGAAAGUGGCUGCUGUCGGUCUUGACAUCACAUACGGUUGUAAUAAUGUUUCAUUGCUCAGUAAGCUAAUAUUUUUAUUUAUUCUUAUGCAUCUGAGGUUUCAAACUCCCUUUCCCUCUGCAUUUUUUCAGUUCUCAGUAUUCUUUUUCCUUUUUUUUUUGUCCUUCUUUGGUUCAAAUGAUUCAUUAAGAAAAGAUUAUAUUUUUGGUUUAAAAAA